rnacentral:rRNA from 1 species
GACGAACGCUGGCGGCGUGCUUAACACAUGCAAGUCGAACGGUAAGGCCCUUCGGGGUACACGAGUGGCGAAAGGGUGAGUAACACGUGGGUGAUCUGCCCUGCACUUCGGGAUAAGCCUGGGAAACUGGGUCUAAUACCGGAUAGGACUCCGGACUGCAUGGUCUGGGGUAGAAAGCUUUUGCGGUGUGGGAUGGGCCCGCGGCCUAUCAGCUUGUUGGUGGGGUGAUGGCCUACCAAGGCGACGACGGGUAGCCGGCCUGAGAGGGUGACCGGCCACACUGGGACUGGGAUACGGCCCAGGCUCCUACGGGAGGCAGCAGUGGGGAAUAUUGCACGAUGGGCGCAAGCCUGAUGCAGCGACGCCGCGUGAGGGAUGACGGGCUUCGGGUUGUAAACCUCUUUCAGCACAGACGAAGCGCAAGUGACGGUAUGUGCAGAAGAAGGACCGGCCAACUACGUGCCAGCCGCCGCAGUAA